AAGUCUUCCCCAUCAUCAUCCGUGUCGUCUUCCGAGACACGCGACUCCCCCAGGCCAUUGGGCAGCUCGGCCAGGUCACCUCGACUCCCACUGCAGGACUCCCCCUUGUCCAGGGGAGCAUCUCCAACCAUCAGCCCUUCCCUAGUAAAUGAAGGACAAUUCCUACACGGAGACAUGGCACUUCUCCCAUGCAUCCGGCUAAUUAUGGUCCCCACCUUUUGGCUAAGGUAAGCAAUGCGGCUCACAGUAUCCACAUUAAAGUUUUAUGUGAA